rnacentral:misc_RNA from 1 species
GUAAGUUUUUCUCUUAAAUUUGCCCUUCAUUCUUCGUUCUUUUCUUUCCCCCGCUUUGGGUUUCUUCGAUUAUUGAUGAAUUAGGGUUAGGCAUUAUCUUUUUUAAAAGGAAACUUAAAAACCCAAAUGUUGAUUUUUGAUCAUUAUGGUUGGCGAGAAAAAAAAAAUUGGGAAAAGAAUUUGAAUCACACGAUUAAGAUCUAUGGGCAAGUAUUUUGUUCCAUUUCAAAGUGAAUGGAGCAUUAAAGUUCUGUUGGCGUUCACAUCUAAACCUUGGGGCUCUUUUGGUUUUAUUUGGUAAAGUGGAUGGAACAGUUAGAGAAUAUGAUAUGCCAUCACUGCCACUAUCAAUGUAUUUUAUGACCUUUUCUUGAUAAAUUUACUAUUCGUUCACUUAUUUUAUAUGCUGCUCACAUAUAAAAUUAGAGUAAUAGGAUUAAAUCGUACACUAGUCAUGUGAUUUCUGAGAUUUAUUUGUUUCAGUUUGGAAUUCUGUAACACUGACCUAAACUUUUGUUCCUUAGGUUCCUUUUUUUUUUUCAAAUUUUUUUUAACGUUCUAAGGCUCUUUAAAAUGGGUCCUUUUGUGUUUCCCAUUUUGCAUGAUUUGUC